CGUUUGACUAUAGCAGUAAAGUGUAGUAAACUCAGUAUCUACAUGAUUCCAUUGUUCCUUCCUUCCCUGUCCAACGGCCCAAGUGCCCAUUCUCUCUCAUUUUCUUCUCUCUCUCUCUCUCUCUCUCUCUGUGCAAUUUUAUUUUAACCUAAAUCAAAGGUGACUCUGAUUAUCGAUAAGAGAGAGAUCGACGAGGCAUAUUAGGAACACUUGAAAUCUGGCAUGAAAAAGGUCCAAGGUGGUCGCAACUGAUGGUGACCAAUUCAGAUCUGUUGUCUUCACUCGUCUUCCAUAGCUGAAUCUUAACCUUCAUGCAGCAUUCCUCCAACACAACGCAGCACCACUCAACUCUCUUCUUCAUAUUGCUUUCGUUUCUUCUUCCUAGCCCCUCUUCUGUUUUAAAUUAAUUGC